rnacentral:rRNA from 1 species
UACGUAGGGUGCAAGCGUUAAUCGGAAUUACUGGGCGUAAAGCGUGCGCAGGCGGUUAUGUAAGACAGGUGUGAAAUCCCCGGGCUUAACCUGGGAACUGCAUUUGUGACUGCAUAGCUAGAGUACGGUAGAGGGGGAUGGAAUUCCGCGUGUAGCAGUGAAAUGCGUAGAUAUGCGGAGGAACACCGAUGGCGAGGGCAAUCCCCUGGACCUGUACUGACGCUCAUGCACGAAAGCGUGGGGAGCAAACAGG